GUUAUGUAGUUGCUGCAGUAGUUGUGUAUCACACUGGAUGUUCUGCUGUAAGUUUUUUAUUCUCCUGUUCAGAUUCUCCAAAUCAACAUCCAAACUGUCCACACUCACCCUAGAUGCAGAGGGGCAGAAAGGCACUGAGUGUUUUUGAGUACAUGCUCAGGGGCAUCAGCACAGUUCAUUACUGAUUGGUAAUGUGCUUCACACAACAUACAGACCAUCAGAGAAUCACUAAAAGGAAUUAAGAGCCACAUUGUAGCUCACAUGGAGAGGACGUGACCGUCUGAUGGACACAUGAAGCAACCAACCACAGUUUGUUAUGUGACGUAAAUGAUAAUACCGUAAUAAAUUAACACUGGAGUUUAUUCCCUGA